CCUACGGGUGGCAGCAGUGGGGAAUAUUGCGCAAUGGGCGAAAGCCUGACGCAGCGACGCCGCGUGAGGGAUGAAGGUCUUCGGAUCGUAAACCUCUGUCAGCAGGGAAGAACGGUCACUGUGCUAAUCAGCAGUGAAUUGACGGUACCUGCAAAGGAAGCACCGGCUAACUCCGUGCCAGCCGCCGCGGUAAUACGGAGGGUGCGAGCGUUAAUCGGAAUUACUGGGGGUAAAGCGCUCGUAGGCGGUAUGUCAAGUCAAGGGUGAAAUCCCCGCGCUCAACGUGGGAACUGCCUUUGAAACUGGCAAACUGGAGUGUGUGAGAGGAUAGUGGAAUUCCAGGUGUAGGAGUGAAAUCCGGAGAUAUCUGGAGGAACAUCAGUGGCGAAGGCGACUAUCUGGCACAUAACUGACGCUGAGGAGCGAAAGCGUGGGUAGCAAACAGGAUUAGAUACCCCUGUAGUC
rnacentral:rRNA from 1 species